rnacentral:rRNA from 1 species
AACGAACGCUGGCGGCACGCCUAACACAUGCAAGUCGAACGAGACCUUCGGGUCUAGUGGCGCACGGGUGCGUAACGCGUGGGAAUCUGCCCUUAGGUUCGGAAUAACUUCGGGAAACUGAAGCUAAUACCGGAUGAUGACGUAAGUCCAAAGAUUUAUCGCCUAAGGAUGAGCCCGCGUUGGAUUAGCUAGUUGGUGAGGUAAAGGCUCACCAAGGCGACGAUCCAUAGCUGGUCUGAGAGGAUGAUCAGCCACACUGGGACUGAGACACGGCCCAGACUCCUACGGGAGGCAGCAGUGGGGAAUAUUGGACAAUGGGCGAAAGCCUGAUCCAGCAAUGCCGCGUGAGUGAUGAAGGCCUUAGGGUUGUAAAGCUCUUUUACCCGGGAUGAUAAUGACAGUACCGGGAGAAUAAGACUCCGGUUAACUCCGUGCCAGCAGCCGCGGU